rnacentral:lncRNA from 1 species
UAAAGAGAUGUAGAUGUGGAACCCAGGAGAUGAAUUCACUGAAGAGGCAAUAACUGCGCCCUCCUACCCUGUUGCUUUUCAUUUUUUCUGUAUAAGUAGAAAGGAAUUGACAUAGGUUAUUGUCCCAAAGAUGAAUUCACUGAUGUGGUAACUUUCUAUCUGUCUCUAUGAUUAUUUCUAUGUUCUAAAGCCAGGUGCUUAGGGUUGCUGGAUUAGCUGAUUUUCUGCAGUAUAAUGAUGAAAACAGCAGUUAAAGUAUAUGUAUUCCUCCAACCAUUAUCAUAUGAAUGCUUUUUAUAACAGACCAAUUGUUGACACUUAAAACCUGGUGUUAGAAUCUUGGUUGGAUGGCUGUGUUGUCCAUACAGUAGUCAUUUUGAUUAAUGCUUUGGUGGAGUCAAUUGGAAACAGAGUUGAAUCAGCAACCAUGCCUUGUUUCUAAAUUAGUUCCAUUUCAUGGAUGCUAAUGCUAUAUUUGAGAUUUCUUCUGCAUUGAGAAAUGAUGAGGUUUGAUAUAUCAAUCUGAGCUCUAGAAAGUAGAAUGAAUUCAUGUUGGGGAAAUCCCAAGUGUAACUCCAAGGGUUCAUGUUGUGUGUACUGGCCUUUUAUUCAUUGAAGUUCAAUGGAGAAAUCGAAAUGUUAAAAGAUUGCAUAUCAUUUCUCAACUUUCAUGGGUUGCAUCCCACGUUACGAGCUAUCUAUUUGAAGACUUUAUUAGUUUAACCAAGCUCAGGCCAAGACUAAAUAUGUGUCCUCUUUAAGUAAUUAAUAGUAGUUACUCCGAGAGAAUGAACAGGUACAAAACUGCUGUCUAUCUUAAAUUAAUAGCACGAGUGCAGAGCAAAUGAGAGCUACUUGCUAAGGGAAGUUCUCAAUUAGUUGCAAAGCAUAAGUUGAUCAAUAUGGUCCAUCCAAUCAGUUGGGCAUACUUGGGGACAGACAUUGUUGUCCUCAGUUUGAGUAGCAGAGUAAUGAGUCGAGCUGAAUUUGAAUGUAUUGUAUUUGCUUUGGUAAAAUCAAGAACCGAACCAAGUUCAAAAUUUUCAGAAUACAUAUAUAUAUAUAUAUAUACCAUUCUUGUUUGCUUCAUUAGCUAUAUAUAAUUGAACUCAUGUUUACUCAGCAAUAACUGCUAGCUCUAUAUUAACAGGUUUUUUAUAUUUGAAAGCACUCAUCUUCAUAUGAUCUGCGGAUGCAAAAGGAUUUGGUGGCUUAGUGAGACUGUCUGCUUCACCUUCCAUCAUUUGAAUCACAACUUUCAUUGAAGGACGAUCUACUGGAUACCAUUGAAUGCACCAAAGUCCAACAAUCGUAAGUUUUCUUUCAAUCUCAGAAUGGCUUUCGUUUUCAAUUCUUAUUCCUGUCUCUUCUCCGUUGUCCAAAUGAUUAUACGCCCAUUCUGGGAAGUACACCUGGCUUGUGUUCUCCACUGUGACACCGAUGUUUUUUCUCCCUCCAACCAUUUCAAGUAGUAGCAUUCCGAAACUAUAAACAUCUGAUUUAUAAGAAACGUUCCCAAAGUUCCUAGAUAAGACCUCGGGUGCUAUAUAGCCCAUGGUUCCUCUGGCUGCUGUCAUAGAAACUGCACUUUGAUCCUUGGAACACAACUUAGCUAGACCAAAGUCAGAUAUCUUAGGAUUGAAGUUCUGGUCUAACAAAAUAUUGUGAGGUUUGAUGUCGAAAUGUAGGAUCCGUUGCUCGCAACCUUGAUGUAGGUAUUCAAUCCCUUUGGCUAUACCUAAGGCAAUAUCUUGAAGCUUAUUCCAACCAAGGACAUGAUUCUCACCCUUGGCUGCAAAUAUGAACUUCUCUAAUGACUCAUUCGGCAAGUACUCAUAAACAAGUGCUCUUUUAUAUCCAUCAGCACAAAAUCCGACUAAGCGAGUCACGUUGACAUGGUGGAUUCUGCUCAUGGAACCCACUUCGUUGAUGAACUCUUCCCCAUUGCCAUUGGAGUCAUUGAGGAUCUUAACAGCUACCAAAACAUCAUUAGAAAGCCUUCCUUUGAACACGGUUCCAUAACCACCCUGCCCGAGUUUGUCCUUGAAUUCAUUUGUUAUCCUCUUAAUAUCAGCAAAAGAGUAUCUUGAGGGCUUAAAAGCUUUAUAAUCUUCCAAAAACUUUUCAAUCUUGCUUUGACUCUCUUUCUUUUUCUUGUCCUGAUGGUAUACAUAGUAUAGUCCAAUGACAGUCAGUAGAAUAAGAAACGAAGCUAGGAUUGCACCUGCAGAUAAAAUAUGCUCCAACUUAGUACGUUUCCUCUGAUAGCAACUUAAAUAGAGGAGAACUGCAAUGAAGUUGACAACUCACACAGGCCUUGUGUAAAAUCGUAUGCAAUAACAGAGAGAAACAUUGCAUACCUGUAAUAAUUAGCUUUACCUUUGUAGGAAGCCCUGUAAAAUAAUGGAAGGAAAUGUAUCAGCUUUCUGUGUUCCUAAAUAUAAUUUUAACCAUGACCAAGCGUGUAAAGGCAUGCAAGUUAGUGUUACUAUGGUAUCAGGGGAUGAGGAAGAAAAAAGGAGUUAUAUAUAGUGAGAUUGGUAGGGAACAAUAAAAUUAUGAGUUUUUAACAUUCUAAUCAUAAAUCAAGAGCAGGAUGAUCUUAGCACAAGAGAUUGGACCAAAUAAUUUAAUACUCGGAGUGUGUUAGAAUUCAUAUAAUAUGAGUAAUUAAGGUGUCAGUUUAUGUAAACAUAAAAUAUAAUUAUGAUACAAAAAGAAAUAUAAAUACACAAAUAAAGCAUAGUGAAGCUGUAAAUUAACUGCUGGGUUUUAGAAGUUCCUGUGUUUAAUUCCUGGAAAAGCUUUUUAAAUUUAUUAUGACCUAUUUAACUUUCUUGAUUUAAUAAGAGAGUGAAGUAUAGCCAAAAUUCUUGUAAAAUCAAUUAAGGUUUCUUCAGUAAACAAUGAACUCCACUUUUAACUCACCCAGCCUGGACUCUUAAACGUGUCAAAUUAUUGGUUUAAGUUCAUAAACUAGUAUAUAGUAUAAGGUUAACUAUCACUAAAUAUGUAAUUAUACGUAUAGUAGGUUGCAAAUAAACCAAAAAACAAAUGUAACUUAUUGUUCAGAAUAAAAUGUAAUUGUACUCGCAAAUUAUUCUCAUUGAAGGAGUAACUAGUUGGUUUACAAAUUUGUAGCUUUUCAUUCACUACUGGUUUUAGUUUUUAAAGUUGUAAAAGUAAAUAAUUGAAAACAUAAGUAAGUUGGUAAACUAAUUAUAACAUGCGUAAGUGUAAAGCAGCCAAGAAACAAACAAGACAGUUGAAGUAGAAGGGCAUGUACCUGUUUGGGUGCUGGGUUUGGGGGUGUCAUAACACUCUGUUUGAGGUGGUGUACUAACAUUCUUCAGUCUACAACUUCUUCCUUGUGCUUCACAUUCAAUGCACAAGGGUUUGGACCAUUGUAAGCGAAUACCAAAUUCAAAAUAACGAGGAACUCCUGAGAUGUCAACAAAUUUGGUGCAAUUGACGAGGUUAAAGUUGUUGCGAGUAUCGGAAGGUAAAGCUAUAAUUGGACAGGCAUCGACUCCAUAGCUAUCUUUGUCUGACUUUUCUGAACAAUUGAACAAGGUAAUGUUUUGUAGUUGUUCGAAGAAUAUGAACGGGGAUGCUGAUAAAUUGAGA